rnacentral:rRNA from 1 species
UGGGGGAUAUUGCACAAUGGGCGAAAGCCUGAUGCAGCGACGCCGCGUGGGGGAUGAAGGCCUUCGGGUUGUAAACUUCUUUUGCUCUGAACAAGGCAUGCUAAUGGGUGUGUUGAGUGUAGGGGUUGAUUAGCGCCGGCUAACUACGUGCCAGCAGCCGCGGUAAUACGUAGGGCGCGAGCGUUGUCCGGAAUUAUCGGGCGUAAAGGGCUUGUAGGUGGCUGGUUGCGUCUGUCGUGAAAGCUCAUGGCUUAACUGUGGGUUUGCGGUGGGUACGGGCUGGCUUGAGUGCAGUAGGGGAGGCUGGAAUUCCUGGUGUAGCGGUGGAAUGUGCAGAUAUCAGGAGGAAUACCGGUGGCGAAGGCGGGUCUCUGGGCUGUUACUGACACUGAGGAGCGAAAGCAUGGGGAGCGAACAGG